CGGUGCGGCUUUGUUUUCUUCAUUCUUUUUAGUCGAACCGCGCUCUGUGCAUCUUUCGCCUCCCCUGCAUAUCAUCGAGAUCAUAGACAUCUACCAUGCAGCAGCUUCAGGUGAGCGCCUGCGUGCUGCUCUUAGCGCUGCUCUGCGUUACGACUGUGAGAGGCAGCGGUGAUCUUCAGCAAGGGACGUGGGAUGUGAGCACUCUUUUACCAGGCCGUGGUGCUGUGCCUCCCAACUACGAGCUCACCGUACAACCAGGAAAGUGGACGGUGAGGGAGAGGGACAAUGGGCGCCUUGGUCGCCUUUUCGACUACGCCGCCGCGCGCGUUGGGCUUGUUUACGCCGGCGUCCCCAGCGACGAGCACGCGCUGUGCCGCAUGCCCUCGUCAUCGACUCUAAAGCUUGCGGCUGUCCGCACGGACGACGGCGUUCGGCUCGAGUGCCAGACGGUGUGGUUCUCGCCGUCCAUGUUGCGCUCAUUUGAAAAUGACGGACUUCUGCUUCGCCGCUUUGACCCUGCCGAGCCACUGUACAGCGCCGACAACGGAAGGUGCCUUGCUACGCCGUGGCGCGUGCGGGAGCUCUACGUGGCAAGGAUGGGAGAGGGCUCUGUGCUGCUCACCGGCGUCCUCGUCGGUGGCGCGUCAGACACGCAGGAGCCGUGCAGCGUACAUUUGGAGGUUAGACACCGUCCUAUCGCGUCAGGAAAGGAUUCGUCGUCUUCGGGUUCCCUUGUCUCCAUCGCGAUGCUGCUCAUGGUCGUCGUUGUGCGCCUGCUACCGCGUUAUAUUUUGACCCGAAAAGGCCAGCUGGACAAGACGAGUUACCGCGGCAAGAACCCCACCAGCCUAACACCGACUCAGCGCCUCCAUCUGCUGCGCCAGCAAAAGGAGAUCAUCGAAAAGAUGAAGGCGGAGGAUUCCGCCAACGCGGCCAAGCGCACCGCCGUGUAAAAAGGCUGCCGGCGGAAUUGUGCGCCUGUGCCUAGGAUGUCAUGUUGCGGGCCGACCUUCUGCUCAGGGCGCAAACACAAGUGGACCGCGCUUCGUCGACAACGAGUGGUAAGUGGGCGUGGGACGGUAGGUAGAGGAACACGCACAUGACACUCGUGCGCCGAAAAAGGACGCAGGGUCAUCGCUUUACGUCUACCAUGGGCACCACUAGCAUUAGGUCUCAACGCUUUCCUGUGAAAAGUUGCGUGCGUUGCUUCUGAAGCGAAC
rnacentral:misc_RNA from 1 species